AAAAAAUAACUAAAAUGAAGAUAAGUCCUGUCAGUAACGUCAUUUCAAAUGGCAGCUGUGACCUUACACUGAACUGCACUGCAGAUGGUUCUGAUGUCUCCUAUUCAUGGACAGUCCCUAACAACAAGCCCUCAUCUUACAGUGGAGCCAACCUGCACGUUAACCUGGCAGUGACCGAUGAAGGGAUAUUAAUUACUUGCAAUGCCAGCAAUCGCAUCAAUAAUUAAAUAAAUCAGUUUAAUACAACAAGUAUUUGUAGAGUACCAAAUAAUGCUCCUCCUAACAUAUGGGACAUGAUCCGACUUAUUGUUGGUGGCUGUAUUUGCCUUUUCGCUUUCACAGGAAUUAUCAUUUGUGAGACCUACAUAUAAAAAAAAAAAGUAAUAAAACCACAAAGUCUUCAAAGGAUAAAGGAACCACUAACUGCAAAACUAACCAGCUUUUGCCAUUCUUGGAGCAUACAGAAAUGACUAGAAGCCCCUUAACAAAAACGAACAUAAUUUAGAAAACAUUUGCAAUGCUUUCAGAGAAGAGAACUUCAACAUUGUUGUUGCCUGCAAUUUGCAAAAGACUUGUCAUAAACUAAAAACACUAGGCAGCUUUUACCAUCCUUGGAGCAUGCAGAGAUGACUGGCAAGACUUCAUCAGACUUUGACUUACACUGGAAAACUUUUGCAAUGCUGUCAGUGAUGAAAAUUUUAAUAUGUUCAUUUCAUGUUACUCAGUGUUAAGCUUCAGCAUGUUCUUCAUAACAGCACUUUAUUUUGACACUUUAGGAAAAAAUAUUACAGUUCUAAAUAUGUAUUGUGCUGUAUUCAUGAUUAUUAAUGCACUGCUGAAAAAUUCAAUGUGUAUACCUUCAUAUGUCAAAUCUAUAUAUUUUAAGACUUG